ACACGUAGGGGCCUGACGUUGUUCGGAAUCAUUGGGCGUAAAGGGCGCGUAGGCGGCCCGGUAAGUCUGGAGUGAAAGUCCUGUUUUUAAGAUGGGAAUUGCUUUGGAUACUGUCGGGCUUGAGUGCAGGAGAGGUAAGUGGAAUUCCCAGUGUAGCGGUGAAAUGCGUAGAGAUCGGGAGGAACACCAGUGGCGAAGGCGGGUAACUGGACUGCAACUGACGCUGAGGCGCGAAAGUGUGGGGAGCAAACGGGAUUAGAUACCCUGGUAGUCCACACUGUAAACGAUGAAUGCUAGGUGUAAGAGGUAUCGACCCCUUUUGUGCCGGAGUUAACACAAUAAGCAUUCCGCCUGGGGAGUACGGCCGCAAGGUUGAAACUCAAAUUAAUUGACGGGG
rnacentral:rRNA from 1 species